rnacentral:rRNA from 1 species
CUUCCGGAGCUAACGCGUUAAGUAGACCGCCUGGGGAGUACGGCCGCAAGGUUAAAACUCAAAUGAAUUGACGGGGGCCCGCACAAGCGGUGGAGCAUGUGGUUUAAUUCGAUGCAACGCGAAGAACCUUACCUGGUCUUGACAUCCACGGAAGWWUUCAGAGAUGRRWWUGUGCCUUCGGGAACCGUGAGACAGGUGCUGCAUGGCUGUCGUCAGCUCGUGUUGUGAAAUGUUGGGUUAAGUCCCGCAACGAGCGCAACCCUUAUCCUUUGUUGCCAGCGGUCCGGCCGGGAACUCAAAGGAGACUGCCAGUGAUAAACUGGAGGAAGGUGGGGAUGACGUCAAGUCAUCAUGGCCCUUACGACCAGGGCUACACACGUGCUACAAUGGCGCAUACAAAGAGAAGCGACCUCGCGAGAGCAAGCGGACCUCAU